AGUGAACGCUGGCGGUAGGCCUAACACAUGCAAGUCGAACGGCAGCACAGUAAGAGCUUGCUCUUACGGGUGGCGAGUGGCGGACGGGUGAGGAAUACAUCGGAAUCUACUUUUUCGUGGGGGAUAACGUAGGGAAACUUACGCUAAUACCGCAUACGACCUACGGGUGAAAGCAGGGGAUCUUCUGACCUUGCGCGAUUGAAUGAGCCGAUGUCGGAUUAGCUAGUUGGCGGGGUAAAGGCCCACCAAGGCGACGAUCCGUAGCUGGUCUGAGAGGAUGAUCAGCCACACUGGAACUGAGACACGGUCCAGACUCCUACGGGAGGCAGCAGUGGGGAAUAUUGGACAAUGGGCGCAAGCCUGAUCCAGACAUACCGCGUGGGUGAAGAAGGACUUCGGGUUGUAAAGCCCUUUUGUUGGGAAAGAAAAGCAGCAGGUUAAUACCCCGCUGUUCUGACGGUACCCAAAGAAUAAGCACCGGCUAACUUCGUG
rnacentral:rRNA from 1 species